CUGUGCAACAAGCAACUGCUAAUUAAAUACCUGAAGUUCCAGAUGUCCCCUCAAGUUAAGGAUAAUUCAGGUGACACCCUUGCGACCCAGAUCAUUUGUCUAAGCCAAUCAUUUUGAACCCCAUAAGCUAGCCAAUCACCUUCACCAAGCCCAUUCCCACCAUUGAUUAGGUCAAUCAUUCUUAAGAAUUAUUUUAUAACUUUCCCGCGAUACGAAAUGAUUUGCUGUGAGUUGCUAUGCUGUUUUAUGAUAUUCCCGCAGUGUGACAUGAUUUGCUGUGUGAUGAUGUGGCUCA